GGAGAGGUGGCCGAGCGGCUUAAGGCGGCUGUCUUGAAAACAGCUGAGGUGUCACAGCCUCCGGGGGUUCGAAUCCCUCCCUCUCCG
rnacentral:tRNA from 1 species